UGGGGAAUUUUGGACAAUGGGCGAAAGCCUGAUCCAGCAAUGCCGCGUGAGUGAAGAAGGCCUUCGGGUUGUAAAGCUCUUUUGUCAGGGAAGAAACGGUGAGAGCUAAUAUCUUUUGCUAAUGACGGUACCUGAAGAAUAAGCACCGGCUAACUACGUGCCGGCAGCCGCGGUAAUACGUAGGGUGCAAGCGUUAAUCGGAAUUACUGGGCGUAAAGCGUGCGCAGGCGGUUUUGUAAGUCUGAUGCGAAAUCCCCGGGCUCAACCUGGGAAUUGCAUUGGAGACUGCAAGGCUAGAAUCUGGCAGAGGGGGGUAGAAUUCCACGUGUAGCAGUGAAAUGCGUAGAUAUGUGGAGGAACACCGAUGGCGAAGGCAGCCCCCUGGUCAGAUUGAGCUCAU
rnacentral:rRNA from 1 species